GAUUAACGCUGGCGGCGUGCAUAACACAUGCAAGUCGAACGAUGAGACUUAACUGAUUUCUUCGGGAUGUUUUUAAGUGGCUUGGUAGCAAACGGUGGAUUACCUCGUUAUUAACCUGCCUUGACUACGGGGAUAGCCUGUGGAUACGAAGAAUAAUACUCUAUGAUAUGAUACUAUCUCAUGAUAUUAUCAUCAAAGAUUUAUCGCUUGAAGAUGGACUUGCUUCUGAUUAGUUAGUUGGUGAGGUAACCGCACACCAAGGCAGCGAUCAGUAGCCGGCUUGAGAGAGUGGACGGGAACACUGGGACUGAGACACGGCCCAGACUCCUACGGGAGGCAGCAGUGGGGAAUUUUGCACAAUGGGGGAAACCCGGAUGCAGCGACGCCGCGUGAUUUAGAAGGCCUGCGGGUUGUAAAAAUCUUUUGUAUGGGAAGAAAAUGACAGUACCAUACGAAUAAGGACCGGCUAAUUACGUG
rnacentral:rRNA from 1 species